rnacentral:miRNA from 12 species
CAAUGUGUCUCAGAUCAGUUGC